AGUCAUCGUGUGCACGUGUGUUAUCGUGGUUUUGGAUGUUUUGAUGUGUUUAACACUAAUGGCGCAUUUCCACCGGAGGCUGCGGGUCGGAGAUGAGAUGAGAUGAAGAUGAGAUCAGGUGCGGGUCGGUUCAGUCUGCAAUGGUGCGGUACGGAUCGCGUUUCCACCGCCAAAAGUGGGCGUGACACGACUGAGCCGUACUCGUCUCGCAGCACGCCUCCGUUGGGGUACUGAGACGCCUGAAAGGGUGCCGGCAAGUUCGAGCUACACACGCCGUCCGCUGAUUGGUCGACAGAAUAGCACUUCCGUGCGACAGGGCGAUGAUAACUAACAAACACAUUAUCCGCGAGGUAUUUCUGGACAACGGCGAAAGCUUCAUUUCUUGAAGAAAAUGUUGCGCGAAAAGUUAGCCGUCCUUCUUGGACGUCCUACAUUGUUGAUCUUGGAUUCAUUAGCAGGCUACACUGUGUGGGGCUGCUAUAUGGUCACGAUGCUUACGUAGCUGCCGCGGCUAUCGCCAUCCGGCUUAAACUCCGCCCUCCCAUAAGGGUACUGUCGGCGGUGGGAACGCGAGCCGUAACUGAGCUGGGCUAUACCGCACCCUCACUACUGGGCUGAGAGGUGCUGGGUCCGAAGCGUACCUGCCGGUGGAAAAGGGCCAUAAUAUACACACACAGCUGCACACACAAACACACAAACUGCAUGUAUGUGUUUGUGUGUGUGUCUAUAAGUCUGUAUCUGUACGUAUAUGUAUAUUUGUAAGAGCUUGUGGGUAUCUAUACAUGUGUAUGUAAGCAUUUAUGUAUGUAUUUAUUCCUGUCGAUCUCCAUGUCAACGUGUUCAUGAAUACACGUGUACGAUUUCACAUGUGCAUGAUUCUAUUUGUAUACAAGCGUACGUUAUGAGAUGAGUUGUGUGUUUGUAUGUGUGUAUGAGUCGUCGGUAUGUAUGUGUAGAAUGCCUGCAUGUACAGAUAUCAGUGUCCACGAGGCUGUGAACCUGUUGAUGUGUGGGGGACAUUCAUCCGGGCAGCCUGCAGCAGUUUUUAGCCGCUGUGAAACUGGAGCACAUGCUCGGCUUUCUGAGGGGGGAUUGUCCGGGAAACACUGUUCCUUAUAUGGUCGUACUCUUAGACCAGAGCUGCUUGAGAGACAUGCGUGCAUGUGCACACGCACGCACAUGCGCACACGCACCUACACACAUGCGCACACACACGCGCACACGCACGCACACUCACACAAAGACACACACAAAGACAGACACAGACACACAUACACAAACACACACAGACACACACACAAGCACCCACACACACCCACAUACACAGGCACACACACACACACGCACGCACACACACACACACACACACACACACACACACACACACACACACACACACACACACACACACACACACACACACACACACACACACACACACACACACACACACACACACACACACACACACACACACACACACACACACCCUAUACACAAUAC